AGUCAAAUUCAAAUGGGCAAACUGUAAACAAUAGUCCAUAACAACACAGCAAGUAGAACCCUAAACAAAAAGCAAGCAAAAAAAAUGAGUGUGUCUGCGUCGUCCUCUCCACUCCACUUUCUUAUUCUCUUCUUCUUCUUAUACUACUGCUACUAGAACUAGUACUAUCUCACCCAAGAGAUUAGGCCGUGUUUGGUCUCAACGUUCUCUCUCACAUGUCAGUGCCAGUGCCACUGCAAGUACCACCACCCUUCGCCUUUUCAAUCUACCCACUCCACCAGGGCAUACCAAAAGCCAGAGUUGGAUGAUGGGCUCCAAGAUCAUGUUCAAGACCAAUUCUUUUGCAAUCCCAUUUGCUCAUUCUUCACAUAGACACUUCUUCUCUGCCUCUUCUUCCAAACCCGUCUCUAAAAUUCAUUCUUUACCCCUCCAGACUAAUGGCUUCUCUUCCAUCUCUCAUGCCAAUGUUCCCAGACCAGAUAUUUUGGAGAGCCCAGCAGAAACAACACAGUUGAAAAUCCUGAAACGGAAAUUGGAGGAGCUUGGAAUGGACACCGAAAUAUGCGUUCCGGGACAAUACAACCACUUGCAUUGUCCAAUGAUAUUUCCUUUUAAUUUUAGCUAUGUUACUAUAUCAUUGUAUGUUUUAGGGGUCGUUUGCUAAGACUAAUGCAGAUAGAAUUUGAAUGAUAGUAAGUACAAUGAAUUUUGC